rnacentral:ncRNA from 1 species
CUGAUAAAGGCAAACUUACUGAAAGGUAAGGACGCAAAACUACAGGCCUACAGUGUGUGAACCAAGGCGGCUGAGUUACCAA